rnacentral:lncRNA from 1 species
GAAAGUUCAUCAGGUUAUGCCGGAAAGAAGACAAAAAUUCCUCGGGUUAUGCCGGAGAGGUCCACGGGUUAUGCCGGGAAAGUUCAUCGGGUUAUGCCGUAAAAGAAAAAAGUCCUCGGGUUAUGCCGGGGAGGUCCACAGAUUAUGCCGGGAAAGUUCAUCGGGUUAUGCCGAAAAAGAAAAAAGUCCUCGGGUUAUGCUGGGGAGGUCCAUGAGUUAUGCCGGAAAAGAAAAAAGUCUUCGGGUUAUGCCGGGGAGUGCCACGAGUUUUCGCUGGGAAAGUUCAUCGAGUUAUGCCAGAAAAGAAAAAAAGUCCUCGGGUUAUGCCGUGGAGGUCUACGGGUUAUG